UACGUAGGGUGCAAGCGUUGUCCGGAUUUAUUGGGUUUAAAGGGUGCGUAGGCGGCCCUGUAAGUCAGUGGUGAAAUACUCCAGCUUAACUGGAGGGGUGCCAUUGAUACUGCAGGGCUUGAGUUAAGUUGAAGUUGGCGGAAUUGACGGUGUAGCGGUGAAAUGCUUAGAUAUCGUCAAGAACACCGAUAGUGAAGACAGCUAACUAAACUUUUACUGACGCUGAGGCACGAAAGUGUGGGGAGCAAACAGG
rnacentral:rRNA from 1 species